GGGCGUGUAGUAUAGGGGUUAUUGCGCUUGCUUCGCAAAUACGUCCUUAGCGGCGUACUUCUGUGGGAGAGGUCUUCGGUUCGAUUCUGGACUCGUCCA